GGAAUCUUGCACAAUGGGCGAAAGCCUGAUGCAGCAACGCCGCGUGCGGGAUGAAGGCCCUAGGGUUGUAAACCGCUUUCAGUAGGGAAGAACAUGACGGUACCUACAGAAGAAGGUGCGGCCAACUACGUGCCAGCCGCCGCGGUGACACGUAGGCACCAAGCGUUAUCCGGAUUUAUUGGGCGUAAAGAGCUCGUAGGCGGUUCGGUAAGUCGGGUGUGAAAACUCUGGGCUCAACCCAGAGAGGCCACCCGAUACUGCUGUGACUAGAGUGCGGUAGGGGAGCGGGGAAUUCAUGGUGUAGCGGUGAAAUGCGCAGAUAUCAUGAGGAACACCAGUGGCGAAGGCGCCGCUCUGGGCCGUAACUGACGCUGAGGAGCGAAAGCAUGGGUAGCAAAC
rnacentral:rRNA from 1 species